rnacentral:rRNA from 1 species
ACGUAGGGGGCAAGCGUUGUCCGGAUUUAUUGGGCGUAAAGAGCUCGUAGGCGGUUGGGCAAGUCACGUGUGAAAUCUCCACGCUCAACGUGGAGGCGCCACGUGAGACUGCCCUGACUCGAGUCCGGUAGGGGAGCGUGGAAUUCCCGGUGUAGCGGUGAAAUGCGCAGAGAUCGGGAGGAACACCGAUGGCGAAGGCGGCAUCCUGGACCAACACUGACACUGAGGAGCGAAAGCCAGGGGAGCAAACGGGA